rnacentral:misc_RNA from 1 species
GCAAACUUGGUCAUUUAGAGGAAGUAAAAGUCGUAACAAGGUCUCCGUAGGUGAACCUGCGGAGGGAUCAUUACAGAGUUGCAAAACUCCCAAACCCAAUGCGAACUUUACCUGUUGUUAGUUGCUUCGGCAGGCGGCCCCAGGGCGGGGCCGUAGCCUUUACCGGCGCCUGCCGGGGGACGAAAAACUCUCAACUUUGUUAUUUAUACCUUCUGAGUCUUUUUGAAAGACAAAAUAAGUCAAAACCUUCAACAACGGAUCUCUUGGUUCUGGCAUCGAUGAAGAACGCAGC